AGCCCAACCAAAUACUAGCCCGUUUACACCCAACCAGGUAUGGCCCAAAUGGCCCAAUUUGGUAAACAGGAGAAGGAAAACCUAGGGUUUCUGGAACCCUAGGCGCCGCAAACAGAAGGUUCCAGAGCUUGUAUCACAGGCACGCUAAUCGUCACCACCAUCGGUGCCGUGAUUCCAGGCCCCAUGGCGCGCCGUGAUCGAUGCACGGAUCAACGUUUUCUCGCCAUGAAAUCCUCAAUGGUGCCUGCAAAAUAGAAGAAGAACCACAACAGCAAAGGAAAUAAACAUGGAAAGAAAUCAACAGAUUCUUUCCCUAAAAUGUAAUUGAGGGUUAUAAAAACCCAUUUCUUUUAAUCUGUAAUAAAGGUUUUUUUGGCAAGAACAGAGAGAUUCAAUAAAAACAAAAUCGUUCUUAUACUAAAGAAACCAGCAGUCGAUCGAAAUACAUAAAGGUGGAUGCUUUAAAUAUAUGUACAUGUAUAUAUUGCAANNN
rnacentral:lncRNA from 1 species